GUAAAAUAUUCCUUUUAUUUUUCUUUUUCUGUAUUAAAGAAAUUUUAUUAAGAUAAACAAGAAAUUAGAGUGUAAAUAACUUGCCCAAUUUCCUCGUACUGACAAGUGCUUCAUCCACAAUUCUGAAGUUCUUCAUCAUCACACCUUUCUUUCUGCUUUUUACCCCUUUUGAUUUUUAAAUAGUUGGUCCAGCACAUGAGGCCAUUUUUCACUCGUAGAAAGACAUUAACCAGCUUCUAUGUACCACCACCUCCAGAAUUUGCCAGCAAAUUUGAUUGCAUUUUCAAUCAUGUAGCCAUAGCAUUUGUUG
rnacentral:misc_RNA from 1 species